UGAAACGCUCUGUUUCAGCGCAUUUUGACGGAAUUGCAACAGAAUUCCGUUGCUAGGAAUAACUGAACUGAAGAACAAGUAGGCUACCAAAAGGCAAUGGAGUUAUCAAGUAUAGCAAACCAGGCACUUCAUGAAACUGUUUUUAGUUGGACUUCAACCAUAUUUCAUUAAACAUAUUUAUUAUC